rnacentral:rRNA from 1 species
CCUACGGGUGGCUGCAGUGGGGAAUAUUGGACAAUGGGCGAAAGCCUGAUCCAGCCAUGCCGCGUGUGUGAAGAAGGCCUUCGGGUUGUAAAGCACUUUCAGUGGGGAAGAAAGCCUUGGGGCUAAUACCCUCGAGGAAGGACAUCACCCACAGAAGAAGCACCGGCUAACUCCGUGCCAGCAGCCGCGGUAAUACGGAGGGUGCGAGCGUUAAUCGGAAUUACUGGGCGUAAGGCGCGCGUAGGCGGUCUGAUAAGCCGGUUGUGAAAGCCCCGGGCUCAACCUGGGAACGGCAUCCGGAACUGUCAGGCUAGAGUGCAGGAGAGGAAGGUAGAAUUCCCGGUGUAGCGGUGAAAUGCGUAGAGAUCGGGAGGAAUACCAGUGGCGAAGGCGGCCUUCUGGACUGACACUGACGCUGAGGUGCGAAAGCGUGGGUAGCAAACAGGAUUAGAUACCCGAGUAGUC